AUACUACUCCCUCCGUUCGGAAAUACUUGUCGAAGGAAUGAAUGUAUCUAGACAUAUUUUAGUUCUAGAUACAUCCAUUUUUAUUCAUUUCCGCGACAAGUAAUUCCGGACGGAGGGAGUAGUAU
rnacentral:pre_miRNA from 1 species